UGUUCAUGACUUUAUUGGUAAGGCUUGUUGUCUGAAGUUCUAGAGCAGUCUGGUUUUCUUGGUGUAAGGGUGAUGAAGGUGUAAUUCAAAUCUAACUUUAGCACAGUCCGGCUUUCUUGGUGUUAGGGUGAUGAUGGUGUAAUUCAACCUCGUGAGAUCUACCGACGCAUUAUAGAGGUUUUGGAAGAGUCUCAGAAGAUCUGGUUUGAAAAUGUUCCAAGAUGCUGAUAAAGGGAGAUGGGUAAGCCAUCGGUACCAGGAGCCUGGUGUUUGGCAAGCCAAAAGAUAGCCUCAUUAAUCUCAUUUUCACUGAAAGCUGUGUCAAAUUCUGAG
rnacentral:lncRNA from 1 species